rnacentral:rRNA from 1 species
UCGAGAAUCUUCCACAAUGGACGAAAGUCUGAUGGAGCGACGCCGCGUGAUGGAUGAAGACCUUCGGGUUGUAAACAUCUUUUAUGAGGGAAGAAGUUUAUUGACGGUACCUCAGGAAUAAGGGGUUGCUAAACUCGUGCCAGCAGCAGCGGUAAUACGAGUGCCCCGAGCGUUAUCCGGAAUUACUGGGUGUAAAGGGUGCGUAGGCGGCGAUAUUAGUCUUUCGUGAAAGCCCCAGGCUCAACCUGGGAAACGCGAAAGAAACGGUAUUGCUAGAGAAUGUGAGGGGUUUGCGGAACUCAAGGUGUAGGGGUGAAAUCCGUUGAUAUCUUGGGGAACACCAAAAGCGAAGGCAGCAAACUGGCGCAUUUCUGACGCUCAAGCACGAAAGCGUGGGUAG